GCUAGUAAUCGCGGAUCAGCAUGCCGCGGUGAAUACGUUCCCGGGCCUUGUACACACCGCCCGUCACACCAUGAGAGCCGGGGGACCCGAAGUCCGUAGCCUAACCGCAAGGGGGCGCGGCCGAAGGUAAAACUGGUGAUUGGGGUGAAGUCGUAACAAGGUAUC
rnacentral:rRNA from 1 species